AAACUGUGAAUCAACUAGUCAACAAUGAUGAUAAGUUUGUAUUGGGUCUUUUUUGUCGCAUUUGUUUUCGCUGAGAUCGUUAGUCCCGUGCUGGGAGGGCUGCAAAAGAGAACUAUUGGUGCACGAUGCGGAGCGGGUUGGUGUGUAACUAGGGCAAAUCCUUGUCAAAAUACAUUUGAUUACUGUUCAAACCGUAAUGAGAAAUGCUGCCUUUUCGCCGAAUACCCCGGGAAAGUAUAAAGCGGUUUGGUGAACUAUAUUUCAGUAGUUAAUCCACGGGGCAGUUUCAGAAACUCGUUUCAAAUAAGUAUUGAAACUCUAUUUCACAAACACUAAUAUUUUCUCACAAUAAAAACGUUUGUCAGCCCUUUCAUCAAUUCCAAGUGUCUUUCAAUGUAUUUAGAAACCAAAUAUUAAAAGAGAAAAACCAAUUUAUUCUUUUCUGGUUUAUAAUCAACUUGAUUGUUAUUUUUCCUUUCUAAAUAGCUACAUUGCCAUUCAUUUAAAAACCACUCAAAUUUAAACUGAGACUAAUAAAUUUGGCAUUCCUCUAAAUUUUUAUCUAUUCCAAAAAACCAAUAGUCAAGUAGUUUGCAAGGGUGAUUAGCUUCUUUUGGUUAUUUUUGGUUUAAAGCGAUCACUAACAUAUUAUACUCAAAAAUGCAGAAUGCGAAACAGAUCCUUGGUGUGUAGUGCAUAGUCAUCCCUAUAAAAAUAAAGGAUAUCAUACGGGAUAGCCUUAAACUCUUUUUGAAAUGUAUUUUGGAGUUCAAUUUAAUAAAUGAAAGUGAUUUAUGUGCUUCAUAUUCGGCAUUUUUUUUUCAUAAAAAACAGCUUUCGACAGACUAUUAAGAUGAUACGGUUAUAAAGACUAAUGAAUUAAGAAUGGUACUCAGCACACAGCCCUUUCGAAGAAGUGAAAAUUAACUAGUCCCCAACUAUGGUCGGUUGCUUCAAGGUCUUCUUGCUGGCAGUUUUCCUAGUCCUCAACAUCGGCUUCGGCUGUUCCACUAAGUUAACUAGGACAUGUGGAGAGGGAAGGUGUGUUUCUACCCUAAAUGAAUGCCCACAAAUUCCAGGAAAAUGUACAAGGAAAAGAGAAAAAUGUUGCCGUGUAAGGAGGCAUUUUGAUUAGACAAGUGAUUUAACACUUGACGAAAUGACGAAAAAUAUUCGGCCCUAUUAUUUUGUUUCUUUUUUAUCAAGAAAUGCGUCUGCUGAGUAUUGCUUUAGUACAAUCAGCAUUGCAUUUAGUUUCCUUAUUUAUUAAAACUGUCAGGUCAAAAUGCAUUAUGAGAAAGCAAGUGAUAAAACACUAGACGACAAAUUGUCUGCCAUAUUCACAGAUUUAAUACUGAACUAAAUCAAUAAUUCAAUUAUUCAAAUGCACAUUAAUAUAAAUAUUAAAUAACCGGAACAAGGAAUUUGUAUUCUUCUGUAGAUUUACGGUGCUACUAAUGUUGUAGCAUUUUAAUAACUAAUUGUUUACAAUUAGAAACCCAAAAUAUGGCAAAGAAAAGUAAACGUGGCCAUAGUGUUAGAGCGAUUAUAGCCUGUAGAUUAUGGCUAUAUAGAUAGAGAUUAAAUUUAAUACCAUGCUUUAAGCCAAUUUGAACCCAAGAAAAUACAAUUUUCACGGCAUAUACAGUAUAAAAGAUGUCUGCACCAGCCAGUCAGUUAGCAAAGAUGAUCGGUUACUUGAAGCUCUUUUUGGUGGCAGCACUUCUGUCCUUGUUCCUUGAUCCCACUUAUGGACAAGCCCCGUGCGGUCAAGGUGGAUAUUGUGCCCAACUCAGCAACCCUUGCCCAAUGAUUCCCGGAAAUUGCCCGGCUGGUCAGAAAUGUUGCCGCGAUAGGCGCAAGGGCCGAACUGCAUAGAUUCAAACUUUACACUUUGGAAAAGGAAUAGAAAUGUUCAUAAAAUGUACAAAUAAAUGAUAGUUAUUUUCCCACCAAUAAUGCAAAUUUUAAAACAAUAAGCUUUUUAAUAGAAUAACACAGGGAAAAUCAACUUAA